AGAGUUUGAUCAUGGCUCAGAUUGAACGCUGCGGCAUGCCUUACACAUGCAAGUCGAACGGUAACGGGCCUUCGGGUGCCGACGAGCGGCGAGCGGGUGAGUAAUGUAUCGGAACGUACCUUUCAGUGGGGGAUAACGUAGCGAAAGUUACGCUAAUACCGCAUAUUCUGUGAGCAGGAAAGCAGGGGAUCGCAAGACCUUGCGCUGAUUGAGCGGCCGAUAUCAGACUAGCUAGUUGGUGAGGUAAAGGCUCACCAAGGCGACGAUCUGUAGCGGGUCUGAGAGGAUGAUCCGCCACACUGGAACUGAGACACGGUCCAGACUCCUACGGGAGGCAGCAGUGGGGAAUUUUGGACAAUGGGGGCAACCCUGAUCCAGCCAUGCCGCGUGAGUGAAGAAGGCCUUCGGGUUGUAAAGCUCUUUCGGCCGGGAAGAAAUCGUAUGGGUUAAUACCCUGUGCGGAUGACGGUACCGGCAUAAGAAGCACCGGCUAACUACGUG
rnacentral:rRNA from 1 species